GGGGACUUGAUCAUUGUCACAGUCGUGGUGUCUUACAUCGUGAUAUAAAAGGCUCCAACCUUUUAAUUGACAAUAAUGGUGUAUUAAAGAUUGCUGACUUUGGUCUAGCAAGCUUUUUUGAUCCGCGUCAAAGCCAGCCUCUUACUAGCCGUGUAGUGACUCUCUGGUAUCGGCCUCCUGAACUGCUACUUGGUGCUACUUACUAUGGUACUGCUGUGGAUUUAUGGAGUGCUGGUUGCAUACUAGCAGAACUUUAUUCUGGAAAGCCCAUAAUGCCAGGAAGAACAGAGGUUGAGCAGCUUCAUAAGAUUUUCAAACUGUGUGGAUCACCUUCUGAAGAAUACUGGAGGAAAUCGAGGUUGCCGCAUGCAACAAUAUUUAAGCCCCAACAACCUUAUAGGCGCUGUGUUGCAGAAACAUUUAAAGAGUUCCCUGCACCAGCACUGGCACUUAUAGAAACCUUACUCUCCAUAGAUCCUGCUGAUCGUGGGUCCUCAUGCUC
rnacentral:misc_RNA from 1 species